ACACCAUUGCCAAGAAAAUUAGAGAGAAAUGGAUGUAUUUAGAAUAAAUAAAAAAAGUGUUCCUUUACAACAAGAUGAGCUCCUGGUCGAUCUGUUUCUCCCAGAACAUUUAUUGGCAAUUUAUGGCAUACUACCCAACAGGAACUUUGUGUACACCUCCUCUGUGUGUGAUUAUCAAUCUGGUCACGUCCUGCCUUAUAGAAGAGUUUGGGGAAAAUUUAUGAAGGCAGGUGAGUCUGGAGGCCCAGUUGGAAGUCAGGGGCUGUGUGUCUCUAUUAUUGUGAGAGUUCAUCAGAAUCUUUCUUGCCUGGACAUGGCCCUGUUAAAAGUUUCAAACUGGGAUGAGGGCUUCUUUAGAAUAAUUAAAUUUUCUCUGCUUAAUCUCCUUAGAAUGUUCUAUAUCACCUCAGUCCCACCCGUCACCAGGCUCAAAAAAACCGCCUUUGAGGAGCUCUGCAACCAAGUGUCCAGUGAUAAGCCCCCUGCCCACGCAGCUGCGUCUUUUCUCCUGUCUUUGUUGCCCAACACCGUCUGUGAGACUACCAAAACACACUGUGCGCUGGAGAACCCUGGCUACAUCAGAGGCUCAAACCCACCCACGUGUCAAACACAGCCAGCCACGGAGACACUGCCCUGUAAGAACAGGAGGACAGAAAGGCAGCCCAGGACAGAGUACAGUUGGAAAUUGCUCCACCAUGUUGAGAAUGGUGCUCCCUACUAUGUUGAAGAUACCCAUAACCCCAUAGAGGCACAACAUAUUCAUCAGAAGCUAUUAACAGUCAUGACUGGAGACCCCCCCGCCAAAGCCCCAACUGACAUAUUUUUAAUGGAUACUGACUUCCUCCACGCUGUUCAAAAUAGAUUCAUCGACUCAAUUGAUCUCCCUGGUGUCAAAGAUGGUGGUUUGAAUAUUUUUCAGAAGUUUUCCAUCUUCAUCACUUAUGAUGAGACCACUAAACAUUUAUAUGAAAUUUUCCUAGACUCUCUAAUCACCCUCAGAAGCAAAAGCUCCAAAUAUCCUGCUUGGCUUAUGGCAUACUAUCACGGGCCUUCCUUUCAGGGGGUGUGGUUAGAUAUUGUAAAUGCCACUGCAACUGGAGAGGUAUUCAAGGGGGAUUCCAUAUAUUUAGGUAAAUGUCACGAGGGACUUUCUCCCACAUCAAUAGAUAAGCUAUUGAAAGGGCGUGGGAUAUUUUACAAUAAUUUGGUUCUUCUUUUGGUUCACUCAGAUCUGACUGCUUGGCUACUUCUUCCUGGAGGAUUUGUUAUUAAAGGAACAUACAUUCUGGGAAUUCAAGAAAAGGCCUUUGUUGGCAGAUAUUAUGGCAACCAAAGAAGAUAUAAUUCAGACAUUUCUGAAUAAAGAGUGUAUAUGGAUUGUAAAUAAAGCUUCAUGUUGCAGAAAGAAGGUCUUUACAUGCACCACGUCCAUUUCACCAAGCCUGAAACACCACUUUGGUGUGCCAGACGAUGGGGCAUGGUGCCUAAACGUCACUGUGUUGAUUCUGAAGCCUAAACAAUCUCCAUUUUCUGUUACAGUGUUUAUAAAUGGGAAACCCAUACUCUGCUCCAAUUCACAGUUAAUUUCUAUCCAGAAGGUAUCUGGCAGAGAGCAUAUGGCUGUGAUAUAUUUUGGAAAAUUUACAGGGAAGUCAGCCAUUCCAGUACCUAUGGAUCCUACAAUUCUAGAUCCUGGUUCUGACAGCCCACACAUUUUGUGUUCAGAUGUAAUGGAGUCCUCCACGUUGGUUGACCUGCCAGUUGUUGGUUCAAGUAAGCAAGUAGGAUAUACUGCCUGGCUUGCGAAUAACAGUAUCUAUGAAUACAUGUUGAGUACAGAACAUCAGAUGAUGUGUCCGUCCCUACCAGUGUUUCCCUCCCUGUCUAAGAUCCUCAAUAUUAUGACGUCCUGCACAAGUCCAACCUGUAAAAAAUGUGCAGGAUAUCGGAGGCACUGUAAGGUCUGCAGUGGUUAUACUGAUGCUACUGGAGAUGGGUAUUCGCCUUCAUGUCCCUGCACAACAUCAUGCGCUCUCAAACCAGGUGACAUCAUCCCCAUAACUGGACACCAUACUUUGCUGCCAUUGUUGUUUGAUCCUGUCAAUGCCCACAGUGUCACACGGCUCAGAAUCACCCCUACCAGUUCACCUCAGCCCUUGGAUCAAAUUAUUACUGGUAUCACCGAGUCAGGGGAGAGUGUUCCAAUUACCCUGGAGGCGUGGAAACUCGUGAGGCUAUCUGACCUUUACUCCCAUCUCUAUAUUAUAUCAUGUAAGGCACUUAAAUCACACUUACAUUCUUGUUGAAGCAUGUGGCACACAUCAAGGUGCUGGAUUUUUUCCCAGGAUGUGAGUACAGGAUCACCCCAUUUUCCUUUUUAAUGUCAAUAUUCUUUCUUGGGAACCAGGCCAGCAGAAUGUUUGAGAUUUCCAGGAAAACUGCCAAGGACACAUGUUUUUGGUGGGCUACGUAGCCAAUAUGUAAAUCAUCCACUGAUGUCAGAAGCAUGCUUAUGAUUGCUGUCACAAUCCAGGUUUUGCCAUGGCGCCGGGGAAUCAAAAAGGCUGGUGAUUUUUGCAAAAAUGUUAACAAGUCUGUGUUGUCAAAAUAUAACAUGUCUAAUAAAAAUUUGAAUUCAUCAAAA
rnacentral:tmRNA from 1 species